GAGCUACUUGUUCUCUAUAUCUACAUCAUUUAAUGUUAAUGGAAUCAUUUAUGAAGGAGAGAGGACUCGACCAAUACCACCAGGUCUUAUUUUAACUUCUACUAUUGUAUCAAGCACUUCAUCAGUCAUUAGUGUUACAGGAUCAUCAACAAUUUCUUAUUCUACUGAGACAACUACCAUGACUACUGCAUUGACUACUGCAUUGACUACAGUGUCAACUACUGCAACUACUGUAUUGGUCAAUAAUGGAGGAAAUACUGGAGUGAUAGUUGGUCUAAGUGUAGCUCUUAUUGUUUCAUUAGUACCGGCUAUAAUUAUAAUUAUUAUACUGGUGCUAGCAUUGUACUUAAAAAGAACUAACAUUAAUCAAAAAAGAAAAUCAGAUAAUGACAUUGUAAUGGAAUGCAGUCCAGCUUAUGCUACAA